rnacentral:rRNA from 1 species
GCGGUUAUACCAAGUGAUUAAGUUAUAUUUCUAGGUAAAAAGACAGUUAGGCUUUAAAAACUUAAUGUUUAUUAACCAACUAUAAAAAGGUAAAAUUUGUAUAUAGAUAGUUAAUCUAAUAAUAACUAAUUAAUGCUGAAGCUGUGAUAGUCUUGAGGGAAACUGGGAUUAGAUACCCCAUUAUUCUUGACUGUAAAUAUAAUUAAAUUUACCAGAGUACUAUGAAUAGUUAAAAAAUUUAAAACUCAAAGGGCUUGGCGGUGUUUUAGACCAAUCAGGGGAACCUGUCUCAUAAUCGACAAUCCACGUUAUACCCGACCUUAUUUUGUAUUCAGUUUGUAUACCGUCGUCGUCAGGUAACUUUUAAAAAUAUAGAAGUUAGCGAUAUAAAUUAAAUAAAUUUAGACGUCAGAUCAAGGUGCAGCUUAUAAUAAGGGGAGGAUGGGUUACAAUUAUUAAAUUUAUAAUUAUGAAAAUUUAAGUGAAACUUUAUUUAGAAGGAGGACUUGAAAGUAAAUUAGAAUAUAUAAAUAUUUUGAAUAAGGCUCUG